rnacentral:rRNA from 1 species
AUUGAACGCUGGCGGCAGGCCUAACACAUGCAAGUCGAACGGUAACAGGAAGCAGCUUGCUGCUUUGCUGACGAGUGGCGGACGGGUGAGUAAUGUCUGGGAAACUGCUCGAUGGAGGGGGAUAACUACUGGAAACGGUAGCUACUACCGAAUAACGUCGCAAGACCAAAGAGGGGGACCUUAGGGCCUCUUGCCAUCGGCUGUGCCCAGGUGGGAUUAGCUAGUAGGUGGGGUAACGGCUCACCUAGGCGACGAUCCGUAGCUGGUCUGAGAGGAUGACCAGCCACACUGGAACUGAGACACGGUCCAGACUCCUACGGGAGGCAGCAGUGGGGAAUAUUGCACAAUGGGCGCAAGCCUGAUGCAGCCAUGCCGCGUGUAUGAAGAAGGCCUUCGGGUUGUAAAGUACUUUCAGCGGGGAGGAAGGGAGUAAAGUUAAUACCUUUGCUCAUUGACGUUACCCGCAGAAGAAGCACCGGCUAACUCCGUG